CAUUUCAAGCACCGAAACAAGUUGUACAACACAUCAUAAGUUAAGUUUUGUUUUCAAAAGAGAUUUGAGGAUUUCAAAAAGCCAACAUCAACGUUUCAGCUUUAGCGCAAAGUUAUCUCUUUACACGUUGAUCUAGAAAAAAUGUGGCGUCACUAUACGGAAAGCUGACUUUGUUCUAAACAUUUUGAUGUGAAACACAUGGGGAUCAGUUAUAUGCAAAUACCUUAAAAAGGUAAAUUUAAGAAGAUAUGUGAAAAUGCCCUUAGACCUCAGAGGGUAAAUAAAUUUAUUUUUUAGCCC